UUCAGUUAAGAGGGCUAUCACAAAUUUUCGCGAAUUUAAACGUUUUAUACGAGUUUUGAUGCUUUGGAUAUAGUCACAAUAAAAAAACAAAAAUAAGAUUCAGAAAGUUUGAUCAUUUAUCUUGAAAGUGUAUUAAAUAAAUAUUUUAAUUUGUCCACGUACAUCAGUAAAAUCUUUGUCUCUGCAAAGGAUGUUUCAUAAAAUGUUGCUUUUGGGUAUCUUUUGAUGCUUCGGUACUCCGAGGAUAUAGCAAUUUAACCAUUUAUAAAAAUGUUCAAGAUACAACUAUAUCUUGUACUUGGAAGUGCUUAAAUCAAUUUAUUACAAUUCAUACAGUAUUACACCAAAAAUAAUUCUAUAAAACUGAGAGUUACUGACAAUUUUCCGUACGAAACUAUAUUUUUUAUCUAUGAAAGUAUAAUCCAAAUUCAAAUAAAAAACAUUUAAUAAUUAAGGUGGUAUUGUUAUAAAGCUUGAAAAAAAAAAUGGUCUAUUUAAAAGUAAAACAAUAUUUUAAAAUAAUUUUUGUUUGCAAUGCAAAAAUCAAUAUAAAUCUUGUGACGCGCGGUGUUCAACUUUAGUCAGCGCCAGGCGCUUACCGAGGAGGGACGUAUCGCUCGCUGUUGCGCCGCGUAAACUCGCCGGAGUUCGAAAAAUAUAGCGCAACCUACGCAUCUAACACGUUUUGAUACUAGAUAAUGAAAGCAUAUUUAAUUCAGACUAUCAGACUCAAUUGAAUACCAGUACAAAUAAUAUGGAAAAUGAAGAUACAAUACAUGGAAGACGAAUUAUAGAUUUUAGUUUUUUUAUAAAUCAAUUACUUAUAAUUGAUAAACAUGGUGAAAAGUUUGGUUGUCGAUUAAAUAAUUUAAAAAUUGUAAACGAUUACUUGUUUAUUGUAACUCAAUCGA
rnacentral:lncRNA from 1 species